rnacentral:rRNA from 1 species
CUAACGCGUUAAAUCGACCGCCUGGGGAGUACGGCCGCAAGGUUAAAACUCAAAUGAAUUGACGGGGGCCCGCACAAGCGGUGGAGCAUGUGGUUUAAUUCGAUGCAACGCGAAGAACCUUACCUGGUCUUGACAUCCACAGAACUUUCCAGAGAUGGAUUGGUGCCUUCGGGAACUGUGAGACAGGUGCUGCAUGGCUGUCGUCAGCUCGUGUUGUGAAAUGUUGGGUUAAGUCCCGCAACGAGCGCAACCCUUAUCCUUUGUUGCCAGCGGUCCGGCCGGGAACUCAAAGGAGACUGCCAGUGAUAAACUGGAGGAAGGUGGGGAUGACGUCAAGUCAUCAUGGCCCUUACGACCAGGGCUACACACGUGCUACAAUGGCGCAUACAAAGAGAAGCGACCUCGCGAGAGCAAGCGGACCUCAUAAAGUGCGUCGUAGUCCGGAUUGGAGUCUGCAACUCGACUCCAUGAAGUCGGAAUCGCUAGUAAUCGUAGAUCAGAAUGCUACGGUGAAUACGUUCCCGGGCCUUGUACACACCGCCCGUCACACCAUGGGAGUGGGUUGCAAAAGAAGUAGGUAGCUUAACCUUCGGGAGGGCG